rnacentral:rRNA from 2 species
GACGUAGGAUGCGAGCGUUGUCCGGAUUUAUUGGGCGUAAAGAGUUCGUAGGUGGUUUGUUAAGUCUGAUGUUAAAGAUUGGGGCUCAACCCUGAAACUGCAUUGGAUACUGGCAGACUUGAGUGUGGUAGAGGCUAGUGGAAUUCCCAGUGUAGCGGUGAAAUGCGUAGAUAUUGGGAAGAACACCGGUGGCGUAGGCGACUAGCUGGGCCAUAACUGACACUGAGGAACGAAAGCCAGGGUAGCGAAUGGG